UACAAGAGACCACAGAAAACUGAUAUAGUGAACUAUAGAAACAGAGUGCCUGCUGCAGUAUGGCGAGGACACCCUGAGCAGAGAGCUCCAAUAGACCCAGGUCCAGUGUCUUGGCAGGGUGAAAUGGCACUGAUAUGGUGUCCUGCAGGAUGCUGUGUCCUGCAAUCCUGUGUGCUGUGCUACAGACGCGUCUGGAAGCCAACCUGAAAUAAGCACAGUCUCUCCACAGAGGAGUGAAAGAGGCUCCCAGAAGUGAGACUGAGUGCCUGUUGCAGUAUGACGAGGACACAGUGACCAGAGACCUUCAGUAGACCCUUCUGGCAUGAUUGGCGGCUGAAGAACAUGAAAUCAACAGCAAUGUUUAUAAUGUUGUACAUACCUGUAUAGUCUGUAUUAAAAGGCAGUACCUGUA